UACGUAGGGACCGAGCGUUGUCCGGAAUUACUGGGCGUAAAGGGCGCGCAGGCGGCCGAUCAAGUCAGAUGUGAAAGCCCCGGGCUCAACCUGGGAAUAGCAUUUGGGACUGGUCGGCUAGAGUUCGGGAGAGGAGAGUGGAAUUCCCAGUGUAGAGGUGAAAUUCGUAGAUAUUGGGAAGAACACCGGUGGCGAAGGCGGCUCUCUGGACCGAUACUGACGCUGAGGAGCGAAAGCGUGGGGAGCGAACAGG
rnacentral:rRNA from 1 species